AUUGCACGUGUGCCCUGCAGACAGUCCUGGACAUUUUUUAUGAGGGGUAGAUGAAUAUAUUUAUUUUCCUGCAUAAAUUGAUGAGAACUCUUUUUGUUUACUGACAUAGUAUGUCUACACACAUAAAGCAGGUGACUUGCACUGUUCAGCGAUCUUCAGAUGUUGUUGCAACUCCACAGCAGCAAUUGAUUAUAUACAGCAAGACAACACAUCACAACAGGGUGUAUCUGACCACCAGUGAAGUAACUAUCUUCUGGAUGAAACUACAGACGCUCGAGUGAGAGAAUCAGCCAAAGUAAUCGUCAUAUUGUCCUCUGAAGAUGUCUGCACUGGCAAAUCUAAAGACGGAUUAUAUCACAGUUCUGAGACGCUCUCCUGUUUUCGGCUCCUUUCCGUUAAGUCUUAUGUUAAUUGGAGUGGAGGGAUGGAUUGACGUUAACAUUUCGUGCCCAUGCAAUAUUCGUUUUAAUAAAUAUCUAACAGCAUCCAUGUUCAUUGGACCUCCUCUGUUUAUAUCUGUGUUGAUGUUCAUCGUGUUAAGACCCUUUAAAAAUAAAUGCCGUCCACAAGCAGAGGAGAUCGAAGGUGAUCAUCAGAAUUGCUGGAAAGCCUUGGGACAUUGUCUGAUUCCUGCUAUGAUUUGGACAAUCGUCAUGUUUUUUGAUGGUGACUAUAUGGCUUGUUGCUUGACAACUUGGCAAGGAAAGUAUGUUUUUGAUGAAGAAUUAAACAGAAUGUGGUGUAAACCUAUUGAACAGGCCUAUGCAGGAAACCAGAGCGAUCCACAACGCGAGUUUCAGGGGUACAUCACCAUAUCAAAGACUUGUGGUUAUGCAGUGCUUGGUCUCUUCUGUCUUCUUAUCUUUUUCAUAUUGGGUCUUCAUGACUGCUCUAUUAGUGGAAAAUGUGCUUGUUGUGAGAAGAAGCAAGAUCAGGACCAAGAUAGUGCAGAGCGUGCACCACUUCAGCAAAACAAUCCUGACCCAAGCACCUCCAACACUGCAGUUUAAGAUGAAGUUAACUUGGAUUAAAAUGUACAAAUAUUGUUGUCAAAUCUUGCUGCUUUCACUUUUGAAAUGUUAAAACAUUUAAAGUCUUCUUUGUUUUGAUGUUUCUUACACGUUUCCAUUCAUUUCAUGCCUUGACUGAAAUCAGCUAUUUUUUAUAUUUCUUGUUUGAAAACCUAUUUGUUGUCAAAGACAUCUUUUUAGACAAACAACACUUUUGUUGUGUAAGACAUAUUUGAAUUGUGCCACGAUUUCUCUGUCCUGUCUGACAU